UUUACACUGGGGGAUACCUUCACCUUCAGCAGUCCCGGUCGCUCCAAGGCGGAGGCCACAGCUGCGUUUUUGUUGGGGAAGCCUGCCGAGCCCACUUACUCCUUUGGAGCCUCCGCCCCUGGUUCAGCUGCAGCCUCCUCGGCCUCUCGUGCAGGUGGAGCCUUCCUGUUUUCGGGGGCCCCUGUCGCAGCCACGUCCACCCCUGCAGGCCCCUCCCUGUUUUUGGAUCCCAGUAGGGGCUUCUCUUUCAGUCGGCCUGCCGGAGCAUCCAGCCCAGAGGACAAAUCAUAAAACAACACAGGCCUCUGCAGUCGGUCUGUGCAAAUAUGUGUGGAGAGUGCCUGAAUCUUUUACACAACGAGUGGUCACUGCGUGGAACAGCUUGCCAGUGUGUGUAGUGGAGGCACAAACUCUGGGGGGGGUUUCAAGACCGGGCUUGAUACGGUGUCAGAUUCUAUUCAGCUUUUAGGCUAACUAAAGCACUAGGUACACUACACUCGCCUUAUGUUACGUUGCGUUACGUUACGUUACCAUACGUUACGUUACGUUACGUUACGGUACGUUACGUUACGUUAUC